GAGGUUUGGAGGAGAGUGGCGAAAGGGUGCGUAACGCGUGGGCAAUCUGCCUCCUGGCUGGGGAUAACCCGCCGAAAGGCGAGCUAAUACCGAAUGAGGUCCCCCCUCACCUGUGGGGAAGACCAAAGGCGGGGAUUUGACUUCGGUCGAACCUGCCGCCGGGAGAGGAGCCCGCGUCCUAUCAGCUAGUUGGUGAGGUAACGGCCCACCAAGGCUUACGGGUAGCUGGUCUGAGAGGAUGGUCAGCCACACGGGGACUGAGACACUGCCCAGACUCCUACGGGAGGCUGCAGUCGAGGAUCAUUCGCAAUGCGCGAAAGCGUGACGAUGCGACGCUGCGUGGAGGAUGAAGGCCUUCGGGUUGUAAACUCCUGUCAUUCGGGAACAAGGUCGGUGGGGUAAACAGCCUCGCCGCUUGAUAGUACCGGAAGAGGAAGCGACGGCUAACUCUGUGCCAGCAGCCGCGGUAAUACAGAGGUCGCGAGCGUUGUUCGGAUUUACUGGGCGUAAAGAGUGCGUAGGCGGUUCCGUGUGUCGGGUGUAAAAUGCCGCUGUUCAACAGUGGAACGCCAUUCGAAACUGCGGAACUAGAGUGCGGGAGGGGAGAGCGGAAUUCCAGGUGUAGCGGUGAAAUGCGUUGAUAUCUGGAGGAACACCAGUGGCGAAGGCGGCUCUCUGGAACGCAACUGACGCUGAGGCACGAAAGCGUGGGGAGCAAACAGGAUUAGAUACCCUGGUAGUCCACGCCCUAAACGGUGUACACUUGGUGUGGGGAGUAUUGAUCCUCCCCGUGCCGUAGCUAACGCGUUAAGUGUACCGCCUGGGGAGUACGGCCGCAAGGUUGAAACUCAAAGAAAUUGACGGGGGCCCGCACAAGCGGAGGAGCAUGUGGCUCAAUUCGAUGCAACGCGAAGAACCUUACCAGGACUUGACAUGCAGCUGCAAGCCGCCCGAAAGGGUGGCCGCCUCCGAGGGUGCUGCACAGGUGCUGCAUGGCUGUCGUCAGUUCGUGCCGUGAGGUGUUGGGUUAAGUCCCGCAACGAACGCAACCCCUGUGUCUAGUUGCCACCGCAGGUGAUGAGCUUGCGAGCACUCUAGUCAGACUGCCCGUGCAAGCGGGAGGAAGGUGGGGACGACGUCAAGUCAGUAUGGCCUUUAUGUCCUGGGCUGCACACGUGCUACAAUGGGUGGUACAGAGGGAAGCAAGACCGCAAGGUGGAGCAAAUCCUAGAAAGCCACCCCCAGUUCAGAUUGAAGUCUGCAACUCGACUUCAUGAAGUCGGAUUCGCUAGUAAUGGCGCAUCAGCUACGGCGCCGUGAAUACGUUCCCGGGCCUUGUACACACCGCCCGUCACAUCACGAAAGCUGUCUGCACCCGAAGUCGCUGCACCAACCUGCGCAAGCGGGAGGAA
rnacentral:rRNA from 1 species